rnacentral:rRNA from 1 species
AUUGAACGCUGGCGGCAUGCCUUACACAUGCAAGUCGAACGAGUGGCGGACGGGUGAGUAAUGUCUGGGAACCUGCCCGAUGGCGGGGGAUAACUACUCGAAACGGUAGCUAAUACCGCAUACUAUCGGAUGUGCCCAUAUGGGAUUAGCUAGUAGGUGGGGUAAAGGCUCACCUAGGCGACGAUCCCUAGCUGGUCUGAGAGGAUGACCAGCCACACUGGAACGGAGACACGGUCCAGACUCCUACGGGAGGCAGCAGUGGGGAAUAUUGCACAAUGGGCGCAAGCCUGAUGCAGCCAUGCCGCGUGUAUGAAGAAGGCCUUCGGGUUGUAAAGUACUUUUGGCGAGGAAGCGUUACUCGCAGAAGAAGCACCGGCUAACUACGUGCCAGCAGCCGCGGUAAUUC